GAUGAACGCUAGCGGGAGGCUUAACACAUGCAAGUCGAGGGGCAGCACUGAUAGCAAUAUUAGGUGGCGACCGGCGGACGGGUGAGUAACGCGUAUGCAACCUACCCUUUACAGGGGGAUAGCCCGGAGAAAUUCGGAUUAAUACCCCAUAGAUCAGUGAUUCUGCAUGGGAUUACUGGUAAAGCUUCGGCGGUAAAGGAUGGGCAUGCGUCCCAUUAGCUAGUUGGUAGGGUAACGGCCUACCAAGGCAACGAUGGGUACGGGGUCUUAAAGGAUGGACACGCAAACUGGCACUGAGACACGGGCCAGACUCCGACGGGAGGCAGCAGUGAGGAAUAUUGGUCAAUGGGGGGAACCCUGAACCAGCCAUCCCGCGUGCAGGAAGACAGUUCUAUGGAUUGUAAACUGCUUUUCUUGGGGAAGAAUAAUGACGACGUGUCGUCAGAUGACGGUACCCGAGGAAUAAGCAUCGGCUAACUCCGUGCCAGCCGCCGCCGUAA
rnacentral:rRNA from 1 species